UGUUGCUUAUUCAGGAAUGUCUCAGGAAGAUAGGUUUCAGCCUCUCGGCAGGUAGCAGAAGAGCAGGGCAGUUGUCAUUUCAAAAGGAGUCAGCCAAGUCGGAAAGCUGCACUGCAGGUGGCCCCACUCAGUGGCAACAAGGUCUGUACCAGCCUGCUUCAGGCUGGGGGAGGCUAUAACCUCUUUUUCCUUCGUUGUUUGCAGAUUUGUGGAAUUGGCUUUCACAUCUUCCAACUUUAAUCCAGGGUUGAAAGCCUCAGGCUUUAUUACCUUGAAGAUGUAAUUCUGGUGUUAGCUUGGUUUCCUGUCCUGUAACUCAGAGGGUACCUGGACCUGCAAAGGUUUCCCAUCAAGUGCCUUAGAGAAAAUCCAUUUAAAAGAUUCUACAUCUUGCCCGAGUGGCUGAUGACUACACAAGCAUCAUGGGUUUCUCUUUUUGAAUCAUGUCCCUUGAAAUCCCUUCAGAAGACUUUACACCCUGAAAGUGUGGUUCAGAAUGGACCUCUGGAGAUCUUCCAUAUUGAUGCUGAUAGAACC
rnacentral:lncRNA from 1 species